GCCUCAGUGGCAUAGUGGUUAGUGCACAGCCCCGGAUAGGUUGGGACGCAGGUUCGAAUCCCGCCUGAGAUG
rfam:Nippostrongylus brasiliensis genome assembly, scaffold: NBR_contig0000774